CAAAUAUUUCUUCAAAUCAUCAAACUGUAUACAUUAAACAUGUGCAGUUUUAUGUAUAUUAAUUAUACCUCAAUAAAGCU